UCGAACGAAGUAGCAAUACUUAGUGGCAGACGGGUGAGUAACAUGUAGGUAUCUGCCCUUUGGCCUGGAAUAACACGAGGAAACUUGUGCUAAUACCGGAUAAGUCUUUACGGAGAAAGCUUUAUGCACCAUUGGAUGAGCCUGCACUUGAUUAGUUUGUUGGUGGGGUAAUGGCCUACCAAGACUGUGAUCAAUAGCUGACUUGAGAGGAUGAUCAGCCACAUUGGGACUGAGACACGGCCCAAACCCCUUCGGGAGGCAGCAGUGGGGAACCUUGCGCAAUGGAGGAAACUCUGAUGCAGCGAUGCCGCGUGAGUGAAGAAGGCCCUUGGGUUGUAAAGCUCUUUCGUCGGGGAAGAAAAUGACUGUACCCGAAUAAGAAGGUCCGGCUAACUUCGUGCCAGCAGCCGCGGUAAUACGAAGGGACCUAGCGUAGUUCGGAAUUACUGGGCUUAAAGAGUUCGUAGGUGGUCGAAAAAGUUGGUGGUGAAAUCCCAGAGCUUAACUCUGGAACUGCCAUCCAAACUUUUCAGCUAGAGUAUGAUAGAGAAAAGCAGAAUUUCUAGUGUAGAGGUGAAAUUCGUAGAUAUUAGAAAGAAUACCAACUGCGAGGGCAGCUUUCUGGAUCAUUACUGACACUGAGGAACGAAAAGCAUGGGUA
rnacentral:rRNA from 1 species